GGGGGGGGGGGGGGGGGGGGGGGGGGGGGGGGGGGAGGGGGCGGAGGGGGGGGCGUGGUUCGCGGGGUGGGUUGGGGACGGGUGGGUGACGCGUGGGUAACCUGCCUGGUAGCGGGGGGUAACGAUUGGAACCGCUAGCUGAUACCGGAUCAGAGUCGGUGUUGCAUGACAUGUGCUUAGAAGGUGCGAUUGGAUCACUAACAGAUGGACGUUCGUUGGAUUAGCUAGUUGGCGGGGUAACGGCUCACCAAGGCGACGAUACCUAGCCGACCUGAGAGGGUGAUCGGCCACACUGGGACUGAGACACGGCCCAGACUCCUACGGGAGGCAGCAGUAGGGAAUCUUCGGCAAUGGACGGAAGUCUGACCGAGCAACGCCGCGUGAGUGAAGAAGGUUUUCGGAUCGUAAAGCUCUGUUGUAAGAGAAGAACGAGUGUGAGAGUGGAAAGUUCACACUGUGACGGUAUCUUACCAGAAAGGGACGGCUAACUACGUG
rnacentral:rRNA from 1 species